rnacentral:rRNA from 1 species
UACGUAGGGUGCGAGCGUUGUCCGGAAUGAUUGGGCGUAAAGCGUCCGCAGGUGGCAAUGUAAGUCUGCUGUCAAAGCGUCUGGCUCAACCAGAUAAAGGCAGUGGAAACUACAUAGCUAGAGUGAGGUAGGGGUAGAGGGAAUUCCUGGUGUAGCGGUGAAAUGCGCAGAUAUCGGGAGGAACACCGGUGGCGAAGGCGGUUCUCUGGGCCUUACCUGACGCUGAGGAGCGAAAGCGUGGGGAGCGAACAGG